rfam:Schistosoma mattheei strain Denwood, Zambia genome assembly, scaffold: SMTD_scaffold0002131
AUCCAACUGACGAGUCCCAAACACAAUGAAACGCGCGCCCUGGAU